rnacentral:rRNA from 1 species
CUACGGGAGGCUGCAGUGGGGAAUAUUGCACAAUGGGCGCAAGCCUGAUGCAGCCAUGCCGCGUGUAUGAAGAAGGCCUUCGGGUUGUAAAGUACUUUCAGCGGGGAGGAAGGGAGUAAAGUUAAUACCUUUGCUCAUUGACGUUACCCGCAGAAGAAGCACCGGCUAACUCCGUGCCAGCAGCCGCGGUAAUACGGAGGGUGCAAGCGUUAAUCGGAAUUACUGGGCGUAAAGCGCACGCAGGCGGUUUGUUAAGUCAGAUGUGAAAUCCCCGGGCUCAACCUGGGAACUGCAUCUGAUACUGGCAAGCUUGAGUCUCGUAGAGGGGGGUAGAAUUCCAGGUGUAGCGGUGAAAUGCGUAGAGAUCUGGAGGAAUACCGGCGGCGAAGGCGGCCCCCUGGACGAAGACUGACGCUCAGGUGCGAAAGCGUGGGGAGCAAACAGGAUUAGAUACCCUUGUAGUC